GGAAGUUACAAAGGCAAGGAAUUUAGUGGCAAAAUUGAGUUGGAGUGCAAGGAUGAUGCACUGGAUUAAUAGAAAGCUUUUCCUCUACAAGGUCACAUUUGGAUUGUAUGUUCUAGAAUGGUGGGAGCAUUGUCUCUUCAACUUAAUACUACUUAUCUUUGUUUGGUUCAUCUUCUAUUUGAGUAUCAACUUAUCACCAACUUAUAUCUCAGUUAUUUGAAGUCCACAAUAAUUCUCAAGAAAUUUAUAGAUGCUACAGACAAUAUAUAUGAACAAAUGGUUUGCCGUGUUGUUUAGGCAAUAAUUUUCUAGAUAUAAAAUAAGCCGGUUUAUGUUAGUAGAUUAUUUUUUUUUUUUUGUUGUAAUUCACAUUUGCAAAAUAUUUUAAAUGUGGAAAGACAUGUUAAUUGCUGUUGU